AUUGAACGCUGGCGGCAGGCCUAACACAUGCAAGUCGAACGUGUGGCGGACGGGUGAGUAAUGUCUGUGAAACUGCCUGAUGGUGGGGGAUAACUACCGGAAACGGUAACUAAUACCGCCUACCAUCGGAUGUGCCCAGAUGGGAUGAGCUAGUAGGUUGGGUAAAGGCCCACCUAGGCGACGAUCCCUAGCUGGGCUGUGAGGAUGACCAGCCACACUGGAACUGAGACACGGUCCAGACUCCUACGGGAGGCGGCAGUGGGGAAAAUUACACAAGGGGAGCAAUCCUGAUGCAGCCAUGCCGCGUAUAUGAAAGAGGCCUUCGGGUUGUAAAGUACUUUCAGCGGGGAGGCGUUACCCGCAGAAGAAGCACCGGCUAACUCCGUGCCAGCAGCCGCGGUAAUUC
rnacentral:rRNA from 1 species